GGACGCCUGUUGGUAGGCAUAAAAGCUAGCGAAUCGCGAGUAUACCAACUACACGUGUAGACGCCUAAGUGCCGAUACCUUUGGACGUGGGUUCGACUCCCACCGUCUCCACCA
rnacentral:tRNA from 1 species